rnacentral:rRNA from 1 species
UAUUUUAAAGAGAGUUUGAUCCUGGCUCAGGACGAACGCUGGCGGCGUGCCUAAUACAUGCAAGUCGAACGAACGGAGGAAGAGCUUGCUCUUCCAAAGUUAGUGGCGGACGGGGGAGUAACACGUGGGCAACCUGCCUGUAAGUUGGGGAUAAAUCCGGGAAACCGGGGCUAAUACCGAAUGAUAAAGUGUGGCGCAUGCCACGCUUUUGAAAGAUGGUUUCGGCUAUCGCUUACAGAUGGGCCCGCGGUGCAUUAGCUAGUUUGGGUAGGGUCAACUUGGCCUACCAAGGAAUCGAUGCAUAGGCCGACCUGAAGAGGGGUGAUCCGGCCACACACUGGGACUGGAAGACACGGCCCCAGACUCCUAACGGGAAGGCAGCAGUAGGGGAAUCUUCCGCAACUGGACCGAAAGAUACGGACGGGAGAAACGCCGGCGUAGAGAUAUGAAGAAGGGAUUUCGGCAUCGUAAAGUUACUCGUUGUUAGAGCACGAAGAAACAAGGGGAUAAGACGCUAACUGCUUUGUCCCCUGAGACGGUAUCCUAACGCAGAAAGGCCACGGGCUAACUACGUGCCAGCAGUCCGCGGGUAAUACGUAGGUGGCAAGCGGUUUGGUCCGGAUUUUUAAUUGGGGCGUAAAAGCGCGCGCCAGGGCGGUCCUUUAAGUCUGAUGUGAAAGCCCCCGGCUUUAACCCGGAGGGGACAUUGGAAACUGUGAAGACUGGAGUUGCAGAAGAGAAGAGUGGGAAUUUCCAUCCGUGUAGCGGUGAAAUGCGUAGAUAUGUGGAGGAACACUCAAGUGGGGGCGACGAAGGCGAACUCUUAUGGAUCUCGUAAUCUGACGCUGAGGCGUGCGAAAGCGUGGGGAGCAAAAACAAGGAAUUAGAUACUUACUGGUAGUCACAACGGGCGUAAAUACGAUGAAGUGGCUAAGCUGGUUAAGGGGGUUCCGCCCUUAGUGCUGGCAGCUAACGGCAUUAAGCACUCGCCUGGGGAGAUACGAACGCAAGGUUUUGAAAGCUCAGAGGAAUUGACCGGGGGCCCGCACAAGGCGCGGGGAGGCAUGUGGUUUAAUCUGAAGCUAACGCGAUAGAACCUUAACCAGGUCUUGACAUGCCUUGGGACCAAACUCCUAGGAGACAGACCUAUCCUAUAAGGAGGACAAAUGGGGGACAGGUGGUGGCAUGGUUUGUCGUCAGAUACGUGGGUCGUAGAGAAUGUAGGGUAAGUCCCGCAACUGAGCCGCAACCAUAGAUAUAUAGUGCCAGCAUUUAGUUGGGCACUCUAAAGUGGAACCUGCCGGUUUAUUGCAAACCGGAGGAAGGUGGGAAUGACGGUCAAAUCAUCAUGCCCCUGUAUGACCCUGGGCUACACAACGUGCUAAAAUGGAUAGUAGAACAAAGGGGUCGCGCGGAAGCCCCGCGAGGCUGGAGCUAAAUCCCAUAAAACUAUUCUCCAGUUCCAGGAUUGUAGCAUGCCACUCGCCUACAUGAACGCACGGAAUCGCUAGUAACUCGUGGACUCAAGCAUGCCACGGUGAAUACGUUCCCGGGCCUUGUACACACCCCCGUCACACCACGGAGAGUUUGUAACACCCGAAGUCGGUAGGGUAAACCUUUAUGGAGCCAGCCCGCCCGAAGGUGGGGACAGGAUAAUUGGGGGUGAAGUCGUAACAAGGUAGCCGUAAUCGGAAGGUGGCGGCUGGGAUCACCCUCCUUUCUAAAGGAA